CAAGACUAGGUGGGCCGUUCGAUCUGGACUGGUGGUACAGGAUUGAGAGGGUCCCUUGGCGUUGCAGUGUAUGCAGAAAACACCCUGCUUUAUUCCCUAAUUCAGCGACGAAGUGAAUAUCCAUCUUCUCUGUUCGCUUCUUCCCUGAUACAAUUCGCCGCCGCCGCUGCCUAGGGCAUAUUCCCCCAUCCACUGUUGCUAGCCCAGAUCCAGCGCAACCUAUAAGGCUCGCGCGCCUGCGGAUUCCUUGGCUCAGAUCCGGUCAGUUUCAUAGGAGUCGAGAUGGACCUUCCCCCGCCGUCGCUGGAGCCAAACGCGUCGCGGGAGCCGGAGACCCUCGGCAAGGACGAUCAGGAUUGGAUGUCCGCGCUGCGGGAGUCGGUGUCGUUCGGUCGAUUUCUCCAAUUGUAGUGAGAUGCAUGCAUUAGCGAUUCUGGAGCAGGCGUGAGUUGUAGUCCGUACUUGCCUGCUGCACGUUCCUCAACAAAUAUUGAAGGAGCUGCACUGCAUUUGGUUAGUUCAUCCUCCAAUUUCAUAGUAUCGUGUAUUGCUAUCCAUAAUGCAGUCCUUGAAGUCUGCUAUGAUGUGCCUAAAAUUAUGAACUGAAAGUAGCUGUUGCAACUGUAUGACAACAAACAAAAGAAGCGGAAAGUACAACUACAUCUAAUGUUAGUUGUGGUUAUGGAAAUUUCAUGUCUCGCCAUGCAGUACCAGCAGAUGUUUAAGUUAGUUCAGAGCAAAUAUAUGCAUCAAUAUUUUAAUCUUUGCAGAAUUAGAAGAAUGCUUGCUAUGCGGACAAAAGUUCUUGUUCAGUCACUCUGUUACAACAUAUUGCUAAGCAUGAAAAUCUAGCAGUGUUUAAAUGUUGUCUGCUGCUUCCUCUCUUAAUAUUUCUAGCUGAAUUAUACACAUAAUCUUUCUUAUAGAGUGUAAUAGAAUCUUUCUUACAUAUAGUAUAGUUGAAAAUCACAUGUACAGACUAGCGCAAGUUCAGACCAAAAUGUAUUUUUAGUCGAGUAAGUGACAUUUAGACUAUUUCGAAGUACUGUCUAUAGAUUGAGUGAUUCACUAAAUUCAUACCAGACGAGGCCCAAGAAUGUUUGACUAACAAAAAUCCCAGUUGAAUUCUAUGUCAGGCUGGGACAACUGAGUACUAGAAAUGUAUGCAGCUGUAAUAAACUAGCUUACUGACCAUUAAUGUUGAGCUGAGAUUUAACAAAUGUUAUGGGUAAAUACACUAUUAGCACAAAGAGGAAGCAGGGUUCACACCCGACAACAAACGGAAAAAGGGGGAAAAAAUAGGUCAAGAAGCUUGAAAAUAGAUCAGGGGGAUAAGAAGGUGCACCAGUCUCGAAGAAUGCAGGAUAAAACCAUUGCUUAUCUAGGUGGCUCUUUAAGGAGGCAGAUGUUCCAAUCGAUGAUGUGCAUGCUUUCAACAUCCAGGAAACAUGCAAAACGACCAAAUGGCUGGUCUAACGAUUCCGGAGCAGAAACAUCUUCAUGCUUUUGGUGUUCUUGCUGUGUAAUUAGGGGAAUCGUCUGUGUUAGCAGUUGACAAGAGUUGUAAUAUAUGCCUUUUAGAUUUAGGAGUAGCACCCUGUUUAGUUUAGCAAAUCUGAACUGUUACAUAUAUGUGCAAUUUCUUGGCAAGCAAUGCAUUGUGCUUUGUCAAUCUGGUAGAUUGUACCGCUCUGGUUUGCUUCAUUGCACAACAACAUGCUUUUAUAUCUGAAGGUGUUACUAGUAUUGUGGAAUCUUUUAUUCUGCCAUGUUUUGUUGCUUAUAUCUGGAGCCAGCACAAUUUGUUUUGCU